UAAUGUGCUCUCUUUGUUUCUAGGUAACCUACGGAUCCUUUGACUAUACAUCGCUGCUUUAUCUGUCUGACUACACUGAAGAUUUUGGUGGCGGGCGAUUUGUGUUCAUGGAUGUCGGUGCUAACAGGACUGUAGAACCCCGAGCAGGUCGGGUUUCCUUUUUCACCUCUGGGUCGGAGAACCUUCAUCGAGUGGAAAAGGUUCACUGGGGCACUCGUUAUGCCAUUACCAUCUCCUUCACUUGCAAUCCCGACCACGGCAUUGAGGAUCCAGUCUUAACGUAAUCCGUCCUGGGAGAGAAUGUGAGGUCGAAUGGAAUGAUAGGAGAAGCCCUGUGAGGGGAGAAAAUGGAGAUAAUUUCCUGUGUAAAUUCCCAAUCAAUUAAAAUUUCCCUACCUGUAUUUAAUAUAAUGUAACAUCAUUUUCACACAUCUUCCUCCAUAAGUGUUGCAAACAGUGCCUUAAGGACCAUAUUUAAUUCAACAUUCUGUUAAAAAAGGGUUUUGUUUUUUUAUUCAUCCAAUUGAGGAAACAAGACCUUUUUUAUUUUAGGUUACUUUGCUUUGAGGAAUGCAGAGAAAACAUAUUGAACCAAGUUCUGCUGGGCCCUAUGCCAUUGUUAGCUGGUGUAAUAGACCAGAAUUUGGCCCUUUAAAUCUUGUCAUCUCCAUCCUGUCACAACACCUAAGAUAGAACAAGAAGGACAUUAUCCUCCUGUUGGCCAGCCUUUGUUCUUCUUGCAACCGAUUCUCUUAGUCAUGGGCAUUAUUUGCAAACACACACGUGGUUUUGUCUACUGGAACUUACUUGAACUGUUCUUUAGAUUACUACAGGUAUUUAAAGCUAAACAUGGGGGGCAGGGAAGGGGUGCAGGUGAGGAGUGUUUAGUAUCAAAUAAAAUUAGGAAACUAAAUUGUCUGUUUGGUGAGUCAAUAGCCUAGGGCUUCAAAAGAGCAAUCUCAGUAGUGCAACAGGGAUGGCCAAAGUGCUAACAGGAUGUGUCAUAUUGGUCUUGGCUCUGAUCAGGAAGAAGCAUUUGAUGUACUUGGCCCUGGGGUAGUUCUUUUUUUCCCAGCUGCAUCUCCAUAGUGACCAUGAAGGUAGUUGCACUCAGCUGUUUGUGUGAAUUGUUUUGUUUGAGCAUUUUAAAUGUUUAAUUCUUUAAAUAUAAUUAAAGGAAAUUUCAAAAUGAAAAAUAGUUUAAACUUCCAAAAUGUUUAGAUUUUUUAAAUUUGAAACAAAACAUUUUGAUUUUUUUCUUCAGAUUUUUUUUUUAGGAUAUUCCACCCAAGACAAUUCUGUAACAUUAAUAAAUUCACAAAAUGUUUUGAGACCCCAAAGCUGCAUUUUUCACUGAACAUGUUUGUCUAAAAGUUUUGUUCAGCUCUAUUUUUAUUGGCUUUAAUUGGCAAUAAAGCACUUCAGGCAUUUGAUAUUUGGUUGAAGGGCGCUCUGAUUUUGUUGUCAUGCUUCACAACACUCAACUGCAGUCAUGGAACAGCUCUUAACUUUCUGGCUCAAAUAAUGAAUCAAGUUGUUCAGAAGUUUCUGAACAAUUUGCUUUGGCCUAGUGUGAAGAUUUUCCCUUAACCAUGGAUGCUCAUCUAUGGUAUGUCUACUGGAAUAAUGUAUUUCAAGGACUUCAGAAAACCGUGGGUUGUGCCAUAAAUAUAGAACUAGUAGCAAAACAAAUGACUAAUCUUGUCAAUUACUUUGCUUUAUUGUGGUAAUUAAGGGAUUUGCAGAUUAGCAUUUUGAUCAUUUAAUUGUAGGAGAAACAAGAAGUUUCCUUAGAUACUGAGUUCUGAUGAAAGUCUUCUAUUGACAGUAUAGCGUGAAUUUGCGUCACUUCUGUAGAAGUCUGUUGUAAUUGGCUUAUAGGAAACUGCGUUGUGAUUGCCUGCAUUUCACAUGCCUUUUUCCCUUUUUUCUUUUUUAAUCCACUUAUGACAUUAGAUAUAUUUAAAUAUUGGAGGAUUCAACUGCAGCUCAGUGAUAAAAGGUGGCUUUUCUCAUUGGUUCCAUUGGUAGAGUUAUCAGCUGACAUGCCUGCAAGGCGAGUUUGCAAUGAGUUUUUCAGUUAUCAGCACACCAAGACAGACUCUUUCCAUGUGAAAGAGGAAAACUUGUCAUAGUGGCUGGAUCUAAAGAAAUAAAAAUAUUAAAGUUAGUUGGAUAGCAUGUCUAAAGGCCUGAUCGAAAACCGGUUGAUGUCCAUGGAAAGGCUCCUAGUGACUUCAGGGACCUUUAGAUCAGGCCUUAAUUGUACACAUAUGCAAGAACAGGAUUAACAGCAGCAGAUUCCUUGGGUUAGUUUUGUUAUUAAAGCUAUCGUGUCAUUUCAACUUAAUUCUUCAGGUUUUUUAGUGAGUUACAAAAGAAUCUUCACUGCAAUUUGCCACCUUAAAGUGUUUAUUGGUUAUUUCUGUGUUUCACACAGGCUGAAUUGUUUUGAAAAUAGCACAUCUUUCAGAACCAUCUUCUAAAAAGCACUUGUUUUAAUGCACCAGAGAUUAACAUAAAUUUGUUAUACAGUUGCGGGGGAGGAAUCUUAAGCAGUUGCCCGUUCAGGUUUUUCAUACUUCAAAGACUGCCUACAGGACACUUUGCAUCUCCUUCAUACUGUGAAUUCUGACUGACAUUAAAACAUAUCUAAGAACAA